GAUGAACGCUGGCGGCGUGCCUAACACAUGCAAGUCGAACGGUAACAGGUCUAGUUUACUAGAUGCUGACGAGUGGCGGACGGCUGAGUAACGCGUGGGAACGUGCCCUAAAGUGAGGGAUAAGCACCGGAAACGGUGUCUAAUACCGCAUAUGAUCUUCGGAUUAAAGAAUUUAUUCGCUUUAGGAGCGGCCCGCGUCGGAUUAGGUUGUUGGUGAGGUAAUGGCUCACCAAGCCGACGAUCCGUAGCUGGUCUGAGAGGAUGACCAGCCAGACUGGAACUGAGACACGGUCCAGACUCCUACGGGAGGCAGCAGUGAGGAAUCUUCCACAAUGGGGGCAACCCUGAUGGAGCAACGCCGCGUGCAGGAUGAAGGCCUUCGGGUUGUAAACUGCUUUAUUAGUGAAGAAUAUGACGGUAACUAAUGAAUAAGGAUCGGCUAACUAACGUG
rnacentral:rRNA from 1 species